UACGUAGGGUCCGAGCGUUAAUCGGAAUUACUGGGCGUAAAGCGUGCGCAGGCGGUUCGCAAAGACAGGUGUGAAAUCCCCGGGCUUAACCUGGGAACUGCGCUUGUAACUGUGGGUCUUGAGUGUCGGAGAGGAUGGCGGAAUUCCUGGUGUAGAGGUGAAAUUCGUAGAUAUCAGGAGGAACACCGGUGGCGAAGGCGGCCAUCUGGACGACAACUGACGCUGAGAUGCGAAAGCGUGGGGAGCAAACAGG
rnacentral:rRNA from 1 species